rnacentral:rRNA from 1 species
UACGUAGGGGGCAAGCGUUAAUCGGAAUUACUGGGCGUAAAGCGUGCGCAGGCGGUCUGUUAAGACCGAUGUGAAAUCCCCGGGCUUAACCUGGGAACUGCAUUGGUGACUGGCAGGCUUUGAGUGUGGCAGAGGGAUGUAGAAUUCCACGUGUAGCAGUGAAAUGCGUAGAGAUGUGGAGGAAUACCGAUGGCGAAGGCAGCCUCCUGGGCCAACACUGACGCUCAUGCACGAAAGCGUGGGGAGCAAACAGG